CUCGGACGUCCUGCAAGUCUUUCUUCAGCUUUCUUCAUGCUAGAAUGUUUAGCUUCUUCAGGCUCUGCUCCUUGCUCGCUUUGCAGAGACCCAGCUGCUGAUUUCAUUGCUGCUCACCGCCUCUCAGAUGUGCUUCUGAAGGUCAGUCUGGAUGAGACCGCGUCCAAACGCUCCAUGCUGGGCCUCGGACCCACGCAGGCGGGGGGCGUGUCUGGAUGGCCUACAGAGCUCCGAACAGAUUUGUCCACAGGACUUCUGACAAUGACCCAGUUUGGACAGAGGGAUGGUGCAGAAACAAAGGUCAGAGCUUAUGUUCAGUAACGCCGUGUUGUCACUGCAAGAGUGUUUAUCUAGUUUUUUUGCUUUACCUGCUUGAAUCUUUGGAAUACUUUUGCUCACAUGUUGUUUCUGAGCUUUGACAUAUUUUUCCAAACACAGGCUGCCCCAGUGGUGGAUGACCCUGUGCAGAGUGAAGGAGUCGACAGCGACCGUUUCAGCAGUAACUCCAGCUUCCUCGCUAAUGAAAAGCUCAUGUCUGUGGACAGUUUAAGCAGCAAUGCGACAGAUGAUGAUGAUGACCUGAACAACCUGCCUGAAGAUGAGCUGGAGGUCUACUUCAAUCAGCUGGUCCCUCUGUCGAUGCAGAGGGGCAGAGUGGAGGGUCAGGAGAUCCCUGUUGCUGGAGGGGUUGGUGCUGCAGAUGAAUCCGACUCCAGUUCUGUGGAGAUGGAACAGCACAGACACCUGUUUGUUGACGGUCAUGAUCAAGUAAGUGCUUCUGUUAUUCCUGUUGGCUCUCCUUCUCUAUGUGGAGGAUGAUUCUGAUCAGGAAGUGGUCUUUGGUGUUAUUGAUGUUCCUUUUCUUC
rnacentral:lncRNA from 1 species